GCUAACAUUAGGAUUAGGAACCCUUAAUCCAGCACUAAUUAAGAAUCGCAAAUCACACAAAAUCCUAAAUAGAAUAAAACAUUAUUUCCUAUUUUUCUUCCAAAAAAAAGUAGUCCUAAAAUUACUGGUAUUUCCUACAUCAACUAAAUUUGCCUGCAACAAUUUUAUGUUGACUAAUGUCAAAUACUGCAGUGUAUGACACAAAUGAUUAUGUUAUGGUCCAAAGAAAAAUAUUUCCUGCAUAGGAAGGAAGUAGUCCUCUGAAUAUUUCUUAUUAGGCUGCUUUUAACAUUUUUGAAAGAACGUCUACCCAGUUUGAAUUGUGCAGUAGGCCAGGAAUACGUUUUGGUGUUAAUUUGUUUGACAUGUUUUCCAGGUAAAUAAUUAAUCA
rnacentral:misc_RNA from 1 species